UACGAAGGGGGCUAGCGUUGCUCGGAAUUACUGGGCGUAAAGCGCACGUAGGCGGCUUUCUAAGUCGGGGGUGAAAUCCUGGAGCUCAACUCCAGAACUGCCUUCGAUACUGGAAAGCUCGAGUCCGGGAGAGGUGAGUGGAACUGCGAGUGUAGAGGUGAAAUUCGUAGAUAUUCGCAAGAACACCAGUGGCGAAGGCGGCUCACUGGACCGGUACUGACGCUGAGGUGCGAAAGCUAGGGGAGCAAACAGG
rnacentral:rRNA from 1 species